rnacentral:rRNA from 1 species
UGGGGAAUAUUGCACAAUGGAGGGAACUCUGAUGCAGCGACGCCGCGUGUACGAAGAAGGCUUUCGAGUCGUAAAGUUCUUUUAUAUGGGAAGAUAAUGACGGUACUAUAAGAAAAAGCCCCGGCUAACUACGUGCCAGCAGCCGCGGUAAUACGUAGGGGGCUAGCGUUGUCCGGAAUCACUGGGCGUAAAGGGUUCGCAGGCGGAAAUGCAAGUCAGGUGUAAAAGGCAGUAGCUUAACUACUGUAAGCAUUUGAAACUGCAUAUCUUGAGAAGAGUAGAGGUAAGUGGAAUUUUUAGUGUAGCGGUGAAAUGCGUAGAUAUUAAAAAGAAUACCGGUGGCGAAGGCGACUUACUGGGCUCAUUCUGACGCUGAGGAACGAAAGCGUGGGUAGCAAACAGG